AGCAGUAGCCACGGGAAUACAGAGGGUGCGAGCGUUAAUCGGAUUUACUGGGCGUAAAGCGUGCGUAGGCGGCUUCUUAAGUAGGAUGUGAAAUCCCUGAGCUUAACUUAGGAAUUGCAUUCGAUACUGGGAAGCUAGAGUAUGGGAGAGGAUGGUAGAAUUCCAGGUGUAGCGGUGAAAUGCGUAGAGAUCUGGAGGAAUACCGAUGGCGAAGGCAGCCAUCUGGCCUGUACUGACGCUCAUGCACGAAAGCGUGGGGAGCAAACAGGAUUAGAUACCCGGGUAGUCCCUGUCUCUUAUACA
rnacentral:rRNA from 1 species